AGAAAAUACAAAAUUAAUACCUUUCAGACCUUUAAGAUUGCAUAUGAAUGGAACCUUUGGGGCACAAAUCUAUUUUAGCUUAUUUCAGAAAAUGACAAUAACAGCUGGAUGUGAAACUGUAGCUUCAGUCAAAAGAAAAUAAACAUCCUGAAGUCGUCACCUUAAUGUGCAAUUUCCACUUCCAGGAUGGUGGUUGCAGAGGAAACAGCAGUAGAGCCUGAUGAUGCCUCCAAUCCCACAAAUCAACACAACUACAAAAAGAUGACAGUCUGGGAGAAGUAGCAGGAGAUUGCUAUGAAGCUAGCCCGGAGCGACUCUUUGCUGUCUCGCUGAAACACCCGUGUGUCUGUAGAUAUAAAUAGUGGAGUGGUAAAAAUCACAGCCAGGAAACACAGUUAGUUAGUUUUCACAUCUCCCUCUGGAGUGCUGCGGAGAGACACUGUUACAAUUAGACUGGGAGAUGCUGCUAGUCACAGCUUUAUGUCUGCCUGCCUAAUUAUUACACCGAGAUCCAUAUAUAAACACCGCGCCGGCUUUUUCAUUACAGUUCAGACGCCAACCAGUGUAGCCCGUCUUUGAUGUGAUGAUAACACACAUUUUAAUGUAGAAAUGAUCAAGACACUGAUUGGCUCAACUCAGCCAUAAAUCCCCCUUUUUAUAUUUCCCUCGCUUUGUCCACAAUAUCAUCCAUGCUAUAUGCAUUUUGUACAAAGUUCUGCAAAAAUGAUUGUCUGCUAACCCUUUGUUCCUCCACUCUGUGACAGUUUUUGUCUGUGUUAAAAUACUACCUGUACCUAGAUCAGUUGAAAUAAUGAAGGUGAUAUUUUUAACACAAAGCCCCUCGUCAAGAUGGGGAUACAAUAUCGUAUAAUAAAGCAGAACCCAUGAGGGAUGAUUCUGGUUUAAAGGUCCCAUAUCAUGCUCAUUUUCAGGUGCAUACUUUUUUUUUAUGUGUUUCUUCUAGAACAUGUUUACAUGCUGUAAUGUUCAAAAAACUUUA